ensembl:snoRNA SNORA73 Small nucleolar RNA SNORA73 family
CCAACGUGGAUACCCCGGGAGGUCACUCCCCGGGCUCUGUCCUGGUGGCGUAGGGGAGCAUAGGGCUCUGCCCCAUGAUGUACAGUCCCUUUCCACAACGUUGGAGAUGAAGCUGGGCCUCGUCCGCGCCUGCAUAUUCCUACAGCUUCUCAGAGUCCUGUGGACAAUGACUGAGGAGACAAACCAUGCAGUGAGACAUCU